CAGUAGCCGCGGGAAUACGGAGGAUCCAAGCGUUAUCCGGAAUCAUUGGGUUUAAAGGGUCCGUAGGCGGUCUUGUAAGUCAGUGGUGAAAGCCCAUCGCUCAACGGUGGAACGGCCAUUGAUACUGCAGGACUUGAAUUAUUGGGAAGUAACUAGAAUAUGUAGUGUAGCGGUGAAAUGCUUAGAGAUUACAUGGAAUACCAAUUGCGAAGGCAGGUUACUACCAAUUGAUUGACGCUGAUGGACGAAAGCGUGGGUAGCGAACAGGAUUAGAUACCCCCGUAUCCCUGUCUCUUAUACA
rnacentral:rRNA from 1 species